UUGCCCAUCGGGGCCGCGGAUACCUGCUU
rnacentral:ncRNA from 1 species